GGCCGGCAACUAUCGAUGCAUCACCCGCGAUGGCAUGCGAACGGCCAAGGAGGCUGUUCACACCAAUCUGGAAGAAUCACGUUCGAUUUACAACUUCGUCGUCGACGUCUGCCUUAAGCUCGGAGCUGACCGAGCAGACAUGGUGCCCUUUGAGAAGUAUGCCUCAGCUGCCGAAAGCCUGUCGCGACCCGCAUCAGCUGCUCGCGCGCUCAACAAUGGCGCACCCAAUAUUGAACGUG
rnacentral:misc_RNA from 1 species